UGGUGGUGGUGCCACUACUGCUGCUCCUAAAGGUACUGGUGGUGGUGGUGGCGGUGGCGAUGAUAUGGGUACUGAAGAAGAUCCAGAUGUUCAUGGAGACGAAACUGGUGGUGUUGAGGCAACAACUCUUUACGGAGAAGAUACCACAUCAACUGGCUCCAGUGAUGCUGCUAAUUCUCUACUGAUGGUGUGCAGUACAGGGUUGAUUAUGAUGAAUAUCAUUCAGACAUGGCUCAAGUGAUCCUGUUUCCCUGUGAAGAACGGAAAUGAAAAACGUGACGAAGUGAAAUCCCAGCUCGGAAUCCAUGAAUAAACUCUGUUACGCAUAUUGA
rnacentral:lncRNA from 1 species